GACGAACGCUGGCGGCAUGCCUAACACAUGCAAGUCGAGCGAGCAGAUCCCUUCGGGGUGAAGCUAGCGGCGGACGGGUGAGUAACACGUGGGCAACCUGCCUCAUAGAGGGGAAUAGCCUCCCGAAAGGGAGAUUAAUACCGCAUAAGAUUGUAGUACCGCAUGGUAUAGCAAUUAAAGGAGUAAUCCGCUAUGAGAUGGGCCCGCGGCGCAUUAGCUAGUUGGUGAGGUAACGGCUCACCAAGGCGACGAUGCGUAGCCGACCUGAGAGGGUGAUCGGCCACAUUGGGACUGAGACACGGCCCAGACUCCUACGGGAGGCAGCAGUGGGGAAUAUUGCACAAUGGGGGAAACCCUGAUGCAGCAAUGCCGCGUGAGUGAUGACGGCCUUCGGGUUGUAAAGCUCUGUCUUCGGGGACGAUAAUGACGGUACCCGAGGAGGAAGCCACGGCUAACUACGUGCCAGCCGCCGCCGUAA
rnacentral:rRNA from 1 species